AGAGAGAUCUGGCUAUGACAUGUGUCACCCCAUUGAUCACUAGGAUUGGUUGAUCUGGCUUGCUAAGCAUGUGUCCCCUUCCUCCCUCUAUGGGCAUCCUUUCUUUAGCUGUGUGUCUAGCUGAAGAGGAGGACCUCUCCUGAUAGAGAAGGAUCAGUCAGUCUUCAAGGCUGUGAGAGCAGCUGUCCUUCCCUGCUGGGACCUCCACACAAGCUCAGAGAGUCUGGAUGACCAGGAGCUGGUGGGAAAUGAACCCUGACGAAUCCUCCAGGCUAGAUGCUCACAUUACUGUUUCACAUCCAUCUUU
rnacentral:snRNA from 1 species